AGCUCCAAUAGCGUAUAUUAAAGUUGUUGCGGUUAAAAAGCUCGUAGUUGGAUUUCUGCUGAGGACGAUCGGUCCGCCCUCUGGGUGAGUAUCUGAUUCGGCCUUGGCAUCUUCUUGGAGAACGUUGCUGCACUUGACUGUGUGGCGCGGUAUCCAGGACUUUUACUUUGAGGAAAUUAGAGUGUUUCAAGCAGGCGCACGCCUUGAAUACGUUAGCAUGGAAUAAUAAGAUAGGACCUCGGUUCUAUUUUGUUGGUUUCUAGAGCUGAGGUAAUGAUUAAUAGGGAUAGUUGGGGGCAUUCGUAUUUAAUUGUCAGAGGUGAAAUUCUUGGAUUUAUUAAAGACGAACUACUGCGAAAGCAUUUGCCAAGGAUGUUUUCAUUGAUCAAGAACGAAAGUA
rnacentral:rRNA from 1 species